rnacentral:rRNA from 1 species
GAUGAACGCUGACAGAAUGCUUAACACAUGCAAGUCGAUGGGGAAGUGGUGCUUGCACCAUGGUAACCAUGGCGGACGGGUGAGUAACGCGUAAGGAACUUACCUGCGGGACCGGGAGAACAGCAGGAAACUGCUGACAAGACCGGAUAAGGUCAUUAAGCUGCAUAGCUUAGUGAUGAAAGGAGACGCCUGCGGAGAGCCUUGCGUCCUAUUAGCUAGUUGGAGGGGUAACGGCCCACCAAGGCGAAGAUAGGUAGCCGGCCUGAGAGGGUGGACGGCCACAAGGGGACUGAGAUACGGCCCUUACUCCUACGGGAGGCAGCAGUGGGGAAUAUUGGACAAUGGGGGCAACCCUGAUCCAGCAAUUCUGUGUGCACGAAGACGGUUUUCGGAUUGUAAAGUGCUUUCAGCAGGGAAGAAGGAAGUGACGGUACCUGCAGAAGAAGCGACGGCUAAAUACGUG